rnacentral:rRNA from 1 species
UCAGAGGGGGGUAGAAUNCCACGUGUAGCAGUGAAAUGCGUAGAGAUGUGGAGGAAUACCGAUGGCGAAGGCAGCCCCCUGGGAUAAUACUGACGUUCAUGCCCGAAAGCGUGGGUAGCAAACAGGAUUAGAUACCCUGGUAGUNCACGCCCUAAACGAUGUCGAUUAGCUGUUGGGCAACUUGAUUGCUUAGUAGCGAAGCUAACGCGUGAAAUCGACCGCCUGGGGAGUACGGUCGCAAGAUUAAAACUCAAAGGAAUUGACGGGGACCCGCACAAGCGGUGGAUGAUGUGGAUUAAUUCGAUGCAACGCGAAGAACCUUACCUGGUCUUGACAUGUACGGAAGAACUCAGAGACGAGUUUGUGCCUUCGGGAGCCGUAACACAGGUGCUGCAUGGCUGUCGUCAGCUCGUGUCGUGAGAUGUUGGGUUAAGUCCCGCAACGAGCGCAACCCUUGUCAUUAGUUGCCAUCAUUAAGUUGGGCACUCUAAUGAGACUGCCGGUGACAAACCGGAGGAAGGUGGGGAUGACGUCAAGUCCUCAUGGCCCUUAUGACCAGGGCUUCACACGUCAUACAAUGGCCGGUACAGAGGGUAGCCAAGCCGCGAGGUGGAGCCAAUCCCAGAAAACCGAUCGUAGUCCGGAUUGCACUCUGCAACUCGAGUGCAUGAAGUCGGAAUCGCUAGUAAUCGCAGGUCAGCAUACUGCGGUGAAUACGUUCCCGGGUCUUGUACACACCGCCCGUCACACCAUGGGAGUGGGGGAUACCAGAAGCAGGU